GACGAAGAACGCAGCGAAAUGCGAUACGUAAUGUGAAUUGCAGAAUUCAGUGAAUCAUCGAAUCUUUGAACGCAUAUUGCGCUCUCUGGUAUUCCGGAGAGCAUGCUUGUUUGAGUAUCAGUAAACACCUCAACUCCCUUUUCUUUUUUGAAAUUGGAGCUGGACUUGAGUGAUCCCAACGCUUUCUUCCAAGAAAGUGGCGGGUUGCUUGAAAUGCAGGUGCAGCUGAACUUUUCUCUGAGCUAUAAGCAUAUCUAUUUAGUCUGCCUAAAAAACAGAUUAUUACCUUUGCUGCAGCUAACAUAAAGGAGACUAGUUCUUGUGCUGACUGAUGCAGGAUUCACAGAGACAGCUUCGGCUGACUUUGUAAACUCGAUCUCAAAUCAAGUAAGACUACCCGCUGAACUUAAGCAUAUCAAUAAGCGGAGGA
rnacentral:misc_RNA from 1 species